CCCAGGUCAGGCGGGC
rnacentral:rRNA from 1 species